rnacentral:lncRNA from 1 species
CCGCGCCGCGCGCUGCACCGGGGGGCGGGGCGGGGGCAAAGUCCCGCCGCUCCCUGCUCCGGCGCCAGCUGCGGCGAUUCUCUGAGCCGCCUACGCCCUCUACGCAGCGCAGUCCCCGCCCCCUUGUGGCGGCCGUACGAGCAAGGGAGAAGGUUGUGGCGGGAAUGUCAAGAGCCUCCAGAGUGUUCAGCUGUAAACCAAGUAACCUAAAUGUGCGGGCAUUCAGUGCUUUACGUGCAUAGCUCCUACCCUCUAACUAGGUGUCUUUA